GAUGAACGCUGGCGGCGUGCCUAAUACAUGCAAGUCGAGCGAACGGACGAGAAGCUUGCUUCUCUGAUGUUAGCGGCGGACGGGUGAGUAACACGUGGAUAACCUACCUAUAAGACUGGGAUAACUUCGGGAAACCGGAGCUAAUACCGGAUAAUAUUUUGAACCGCAUGGUUCAAAAGUGAAAGACGGUCUCGCUGUCACUUAUAGAUGGAUCCGCGCUGCAUUAGCUAGUUGGUAAGGUAACGGCUUACCAAGGCAACGAUGCAUAGCCGACCUGAGAGGGUGAUCGGCCACACUGGAACUGAGACACGGUCCAGACUCCUACGGGAGGCAGCAGUAGGGAAUCUUCCGCAAUGGGCGAAAGCCUGACGGAGCAACGCCGCGUGAGUGAUGAAGGUCUUCGGAUCGUAAAACUCUGUUAUUAGGGAAGAACAUAUGUGUAAGUAACUGUGCACAUCUUGACGGUACCUAAUCAGAAAGCCACGGCUAACUACGUG
rnacentral:rRNA from 1 species